rnacentral:lncRNA from 1 species
AGGUGGUAGCGUGAGAGACGGUGAAGCCAGAGGCUUGGGUGUCUCGAUCAUAAGGUUAUAUGGAUGUGAUGAAGAACCGGAUGAACUCAUGGGUAUUUUGUAUGUAGAUGACGACUCUCCAUUCUCAAAGGCAUAUAGGGGUAGUGAGUUGAUUAUCAAGGAGAAUGUUAAGACACAUUAAAGGUAAGGCUUUUUCAGGUGUUUUUGAUUUUUUUUUUGUUUUUGGGAAUUAUCAAAUGGGAAUUAGAAUGUUAAGAAGUGAAUGUGGUUGAGCUUGAGCUGCUUACGUAUCCUCGUCGAGGAAUCGAGCGAAUUUGAUAAUAUUUUGUUUGUAAAUUAGGGAAGAAAGAAUUUGUGGACAGCAAUAUCUUU